rnacentral:rRNA from 1 species
AGAGGGGUGCAAGCGUUAAUCGGAAUUACUGGGCGUAAAGAGCACGUAGGUGGACAAGAAAGUUGGGGUGUGAAAGCCCCCGGGCUUAACCUGGGAAUGUCAUCCAAAACUUCUUGUCUAGAGUACAGUAGAGGAAAGUGGAAUUUCCGGUGUAGCGGUGAAAUGCGUAGAUAUCGGAAGGAACACCAGUGGCGAAGGCGACUUUCUGGACUGAUACUGACACUGAGGUGCGAAAGCGUGGGGAGCGAACAGGAUUAGAUACCCUGGUAGUCCACGCCGUAAACGAUGAGAACUAGCCGUUGGAGACCUUGAGUCUUUUGUGGCGCAGCUAACGCGAUAAGUUCUCCGCCUGGGGAGUACGGCCGCAAGGUUA